AUGACAGCCAGGACUAACUUGUCUUCUUGCACUCCCGUAAAAGAGAUAGUCUGGGAACACAACCACAGGCUACAGCUCACUCCGCAAAUGCUUGUCUUCUUGCACUCCCACAAAAACUUUGACAAAACAAUCUUGGAGUACGUCAAGUACCUGCCGUUCAAAGGCAUUGAACACGCGCAAAUAAUGAGCAUACUGGGCGGUGAUGACCCUGGUAGCUACUUCCUUGAAAUGAAUGCCAAAGACCUAAUUAACAUGAAAGCAAAAAAUUCAAGGAUGGAUGAUGUGGACGAUGUCCUAAAGACUGUCAACUUCUUUAGGGAGAUGAAAGCUAUAAACAGGGAAUUCUUCUAUGACAUGCAACUCGAUGCAAGCUGCCGAGGGGCCUAUCAGGACUUCGGUUACUACGUAACGUUUGACACCACAUAUAAGACCAACAAGUACCAUAUGCCACUUGGGGUGUUCGUCAGUACUAACAACCACUUUCAGACUACAUUCUUUGGUUUUGCCCUGAUAAGAGAUGAGGAUGCAGAAUCAUUCAGAUGGCUGUUCAAGACGUUUUUAAGGUGCAUGAGAGGGAAGGCUCCUACAUGCAUCCUCACAGACCAGUGCCCGGCAAUGGCUUUGGCGAUACCAAAAGUUUUCAAGAACACAGUACACAAGCUGUGCCACUGGCACAUUAUGAAGAACUACAGGGAACACCUCGCAUACCUGUACUACCUACACGAAGACUUCACAGAAGAAUUAACAUCAAUCCUCAAUUGGCCCCUCAUGCCAACUGAGUUUGACGAUGCCUGGAAAGGACUCAUCGAUAGGUACAACCUCCAUGAUGAUGCCACAAUGCUGGCCAUGUGGAACGAGCGUGAGAAAUGGAUAUCAGCCUACUUCAAAGAAAUUUUCUGUGCCAAAAUGACAUCCACACAACGAAGUGAGAGCAUCAAUACCAGGAGGCAGAAGAACUUUGUAAGUGAGAGACAAAACCUACACCGGUUUGUCAGCUAG
rnacentral:rRNA from 1 species